rnacentral:sRNA from 1 species
CCAACUUCCAUAGUCCCUGGAAGCAACCUUCCAACCCACCAAUUGAACCGCUACAAUGCCUCAGGACAUGCCCCCCGCUGGGGGCUAUCAGCCCAUCCAGUAUAAGCGCAACCUCCCCGUCCGCGGCUUCCGGCCCGUCUACUACCUCGUCGGCAUGCACCUGAUCAUGGCAUACGGCUUCUAUAAGGUAUUCCUGGGAAUCCGGGAGCAGAAGUAAGUUAAGGGACAUCGAAUCGAACCACCACCACCUCCACACACGAAAAACCUUUGAUAUCAUACGAUAAACCAGGUUUCCCUGCCCGCCCUCCCGGGCCUCCAUUUUUUACAUUCCCCGCGUUACAAAUGGAGAGAGCUAACCAGCGCCCGAAUUCCUAUCGUCUUUUUUAAUCCUUCGCAGUGAACUCGGUCGCGAAAAGAUGUGGUCCCGCAUCCACCUAAUCCCGCUCCUCCAGGCGGAGGAAGACCGCGACCAGGUCCGCAGACACCUGGCGGACAAAGCGCGGGAGAAGCAGCUGAUGGGAUCGGAGACUAAGGUUUAUCAUUCGGACCGAUUCGUGAGGCCGACGUUCUGGUACACGCCUGCCAACGUGACGAAAUAAAGAACGAUGUCUCAGAGGGAAAGGGGAUGGGGAUAGGGAUGGGGAUGGGGUGUGCGGUGUGCGGUGUAUGGGGGCUUUAAAUCAUAUCUCUCUGUGCAGACUUGCAUUUGCAUGAAAGGGAGAAGAAGGGAGAGAAGGGAGGUGGGGGCGGGCGCCGAGGUUUAGACCCCUUCAAAAACAUAAAUUAUGCUUUCUCUACUCGGUUUUGUGUAUGAAGAAUGCUGAAUGGGAUGGGAUGGGGAGAUGGAAGGGCAAUCUCGGCCGUGGAAAGGUUGUUGUUGAUGUUGUUGUUGGCCGUUCAUAGAGGUAAUGGGAUUUUUUUUUUUUUUCUUUCCUUUGGGAUUCUCUUUUUCUUGUCUUUUCGUUGUGCAUGUACUGUACUGCCUACUGCCCUUUUUGUUCCCUUGUAUAGAGAGAGAAGAAGAGAAAGGCGGAAUGCGGGAAAAAUAAAAAAAAGAAAAACCUAAUGUGAAUAUUUGCAGUUCAUGGUUCCGUAAAUCUGUAAAUCUUUUUAAAUUAUAGUUACAUACA